rnacentral:rRNA from 1 species
GACGAACGCUGGCGGCGUGCUUAACACAUGCAAGUCGAACGGAAAGGCCCUGCUUUUGUGGGUUGCUCGAGUGGCGAACGGGUGAGUAACACGUGAGUAACCUGCCCUUUACUUUGGGAUAACUUCAGGAAACUGGGGCUAAUACCGGAUAGGAGCUCCUGCUGCAUGGUGGGGGUUGGACAGUUUCGGCGGUUGGGGAUGGACUCGCGGCUUAUCAGCUUGUUGGUGGGGUAGUGGCUUACCAAGGCUUUGACGGGUAGCCGGCCUGAGAGGGUGACCGGCCACAUUGGGACUGAGAUAGGGCCCAGACUCCUACGGGAGGCAGCAGGGGGGAAUAUUGCACAAUGGGCGGAAGCCUGAUGCAGCAACGCCGCGUGCGGGAUGACGGCCUUCGGGGUGUAAACCGCUUUCGCCUGUGACGAAGCGUGAGUGACGGUAAUGGGUAAAGAAGCACCGGCUAACUACGUG